rnacentral:rRNA from 1 species
ACCAGGAGUGGAAUCUGCGGCUUAAUUGACCCAACGCGGAAAACUCACCAGGUCAGGACACGGUAAGGAUUGACGGACUGAAGGCUCUUUCUCGAUUCCGUGGAAAGUGGUGCAUUGGCCGUUUUUGGUUGGUGGAUCGAUCCGUCUGGUUAAUUCCGUUAACGAACGAGACCUCGGCACUCCGAAUAGCGCGGCGGACGUCGCGGCCUCCGGGCCGUCUUCCGCACGAGCUUCUUAGAGGGACGUCCCCCGCCGGGGAAGGAGGUGCGAGGCAACGACAGGUCUGUGAUGCCCUUAGAUGUUCUGGGCCGCACGCGCAUUACACUGACGCGUCCAACGGGUGACUCCCGACCCGAAGGGGGCCGGGGAAUCCGCAAGGCGCGUCGUGAUGGGGAUUGAACGUUGCAAUUGUUGUUCACGAACGAGGAAUUCCUAGUAGGCGCGGGUCAUCAACCCGCGCCGAUUACGUCCCUGCCC